rnacentral:rRNA from 1 species
AAUAUUUCGCAAUGGAGGGAACUCUGACGCAGCGACGCCGCGUGAGCGAUGAAGGNCUNNGGAUCNUNAAGCUCUGUCCUUGGNNNNNAAGGUCUUCGGACUUGACGGUACCUCAGGAGGAAGCCCCGGCUAAAUACGUGCCAGCAGCCGCGGUAAUACGUAGGUGGCAAGCGUUGUCCGGAAUUAUUGGGCGUAAAGCGCGCGCAGGAGGUCUUUUAAGUCUGAUGUGAAAGCCCCCGGCUCAACCGGGGAGGGUCAUUGGAAACUGGGAGACUUGAGUGCAGAAGAGGAGAGUGGAAUUCCAUGUGUAGCGGUGAAAUGCGUAGAGAUAUGGAGGAACACCAGUGGCGAAGGCGACUCUCUGGUCUGCAACUGACGCUGAGGCGCGAAAGCGUGGGGAGCAAAC